UCAUUUCGGAUAAAAGAUACAGGUCCCAAGUGAUCGGUAGUCUUAUUUUACUGUUAUCCGAAAUGAACUUCAAGUGUAAGUUGGGCAGCCAUAAAGGAUUGAAUCUGGUCGUGUGAACAUCUAAAUUGAUGGAGAUAUGCAACAAUCAUAUGACCAUGACAAGACUUAGUUGGGUCUCAGCAGCAAUAGCAUAUGGUCGUAGGGUCGAUAUGAUCAUGUCAUAUACAGUAACUUGAACAAUCGUCAAG
rnacentral:misc_RNA from 1 species